AACGAACGCUGGCGGCGCGCCUAACACAUGCAAGUCGAACGCACCCUUCGGGGUGAGUGGCGGACGGGUGAGUAGCGCGUGGGAACCUGCCCCGAGCACCGGGACAACCGCGGGAAACUGCGGCUAAUACCGGAUGAUGCCCUUCGUAAGAGGGGCCAAAGCCCUGAUCUUCGGUUUGGGGCGGCGUGGGAAGGGCCCGCGUCCGAUUCGCUGGUUGGUGGGGUAACGGCCCACCAAGGCUGUGAUCGGUAGCUGGUCUGAGAGGACGAUCAGCCACACUGGGACUGAGACACGGACCAGACUCCUACGGGAGGCAGCAGUGGGGAAUCUUGGACAAUGGGGGCAACCCUGAUCCAGCGACGCCGCGUGGGUGAUGAAGGCCUUCGGGUUGUAAAGCCCUUUCGACGGGGACGAUGAUGACGGUACCCGGCGAAGAAGCACCGGCUAACUCCGUGCCAGCAGCCGCCGUAAAAC
rnacentral:rRNA from 1 species